UAGGGAAUCUUCAGCAAUGGGCGAAAGCCUGACGGAGCAACGCCGCGUGAGUGAUGAAGGUCUUCGGAUCGUAAAACUCUGUUAUUAGGGAAGAACAAAUGUGUAAGUAACUAUGCACGUCUUGACGGUACCUAAUCAGAAAGCCACGGCUAACUACGUGCCAGCAGCCGCGGUAAUACGUAGGUGGCAAGCGUUAUCCGGAAUUAUUGGGCGUAAAGCGCGCGUAGGCGGUUUUUUAAGUCUGAUGUGAAAGCCCCCGGCUCAACCGUGGAGGGCCAUUGGAAACUGGAAAACUUGAGUGCAGAAGAGGAAAGUGGAAUUCCAUGUGUAGCGGUGAAAUGCGCAGAGAUAUGGAGGAACACCAGUGGCGAAGGCGACUUUCUGGUCUGUAACUGACGCUGAUGUGCGAAAGCGUGGGGAUCAAACAGG
rnacentral:rRNA from 1 species